rnacentral:rRNA from 1 species
UUUUCCGCAAUGGGCGCAAGCCUGACGGAGCGACGCCGCGUGGGGGACGACGCAUUUCGGUGUGUAAACCCCUUUUCUGGGGGAAGAAGGCAGUGACGGUACCCCAGGAAGAAGGACCGGCUAACUACGUGCCAGCAGCCGCGGUAAGACGUAGGGUCCGAGCGUUGUCCGGAGUUACUGGGCGUAAAGGGCGCGUAGGCGGUUGUCUACGUCCCACGUGAAAGCCCCUGGCUCAACCAGGGAGGGUCGUGGGAAACGGGGGAACUGGAGGCAGCGAGAGGCUGGUGGAAUUCCCGGAGUAGUGGUGAAAUGCGUAGAGAUCGGGAGGAACACCGGUGGCGAAGGCGGCCAGCUGGCGCUGACCUGACGCUGAGGCGCGAAGGCGUGGGGAGCGAACGG